UACGUAGGGGGCUAGCGUUGUCCGGAUAUACUGGGCGUAAAGAGCGUGUAGGCGGCUAGGUAGGUCUGCUGUGAAAACUCGAGGCUCAACCUCGAGACGUCGGCGGAAACCAUCUGGCUAGAGUCCGGAAGAGGAGAGUGGAAUUCCUGGUGUAGCGGUGAAAUGCGCAGAUAUCAGGAAGAACACCGAUGGCGAAGGCAGUUCUCUGGGCCGUAACUGACGCUGAGGAGCGAAAGCGUGGGGAGCGAACAGG
rnacentral:rRNA from 1 species